UGCCAAAGACAGUUUGCCGAGAAAGAAGCUAGGGGCAGUGAGUUGGAAGAGCAGCGGGAAUUGAAAUGGCAGAGAUUGGUUGCUGCGGCAGAACAAGGAGGCUGAGUGAGGAAAAUGGUAACAGUUUACCUGAUCACUCUGGAUGGGAUGCAUCAGAUCCAAAAUGGUGGGAUGCAUGAUCCACAAAAAAAAGAAAAGAAAAAGAACAGAAAAUGUUUUUAUCUCUAUGUUGGUGGUAUUUUUUUUAAAUUUAUUAUUAUUAUUUAUCUUCCUCUUUAGGUUGUCCUUUUGCCAAAGCAUUGAAGAUAGUUUUGUGUAAUUUACUGAUAGUUAAGAAUGGCUUUAGGAUACAAUGUUUUCCUUCCAUUUACAACAUGGAGAUUCCUUGUACAAUAUUCAAUAUUUCCUAACGUUUACAGCAUGAAGAUACCUUGUACAAUAUUUUCUUCCAUUUAGGGCAUGUGAUAUUAUCAAUUAGCAAAUGAGUGUUUGAGCUGAGGUUGGAUGGGUAGUGUAUCAGUUGUCAGGGACGGAGCUAAAUGGAUGUUGGAGGGUGCCAUGGCCCCUCCAAGGUUUGAAAUUUUUGUAAGAUUCAUCCCAAAAUUUGAAAAUUUUAUAAAAUUCAUUUGUACAUUUGGUUUGUUUUGAAAAUUUUGUAAGACUACGACACCCCAAUUUUUGAC
rnacentral:lncRNA from 1 species